CUAUAAUGGCAGUCGAGCGGACAGAUGGGAGCUUGCUCCCUGAUGUUAGCGGCGGACGGGUGAGUAACACGUGGGUAACCUGCCUGUAAGACUGGGAUAACUCCGGGAAACCGGGGCUAAUACCGGAUGGUUGUUUGAACCGCAUGGUUCAAACAUAAAAGGUGGCUUCGGCUACCACUUACAGAUGGACCCGCGGCGCAUUAGCUAGUUGGUGAGGUAACGGCUCACCAAGGCAACGAUGCGUAGCCGACCUGAGAGGGUGAUCGGCCACACUGGGACUGAGACACGGCCCAGACUCCUACGGGAGGCAGCAGUAGGGAAUCUUCCGCAAUGGACGAAAGUCUGACGGAGCAACGCCGCGUGAGUGAUGAAGGUUUUCGGAUCGUAAAGCUCUGUUGUUAGGGAAGAACAAGUACCGUUCGAAUAGGGCGGUACCUUGACGGUACCUAACCAGAAAGCCACGGCUAACUACGUGCCAGCAGCCGCGGGUAAUACGUAGGUGGCAAGCGUUGUCCGGAAUUAUUGGGCGUAAAGGGCUCGCAGGCGGUUUCUUAAGUCUGAUGUGGAAAGCCCCCGGCUCAACCGGGGAGGGGUCAUUGGAAACUGGGGAACUUGAGUGCAGAAGAGGGAGAGUGGAAUUCCACGGUGUAGCGGUGAAAUGCGUAAAGAUGUGGAGGGAACACCAGUGGCGAAGGCGACUCUCUGGGUCUGUAACUGGACGCUGAGGAGCGAAAGCGUGGGGAGCGAACAGGAUUAGAUACCCUGGUAGUCCACGCCGUAAAACGAUGAGUGCUAAGUGUUAGGGGGUUUCCGCCCCCUUAGUGCUGCAGCUAACGCAUUAAGCACUCCGCCUGGGGGAGUACGGGUCGCAAGACUGAAACUCAAAGGAAUUGACGGGGGGCCCGCACAAGCGGUGGAGCAUGUGGUUCUAUUUCGAAGCAACGCGAAGAACCUUACCAGGUCUUGACAUCCUCUGACAAUCCUAGAGAUAGGACGUCCCCUUCGGGGGCAGAGUGACAGGUGGUGCAUGGUUGUCGUCAGCUCGUGUCGUGAGAUGUUGGGUUAAGUCCCGCAACGAGCGCAACCCUUGAUCUUAGUUGCCAGCAUUCAGUUGGGCACUCUAAGGUGACUGCCGGUGACAAACCGGAGGAAGGUGGGGAUGACGUCAAAUCAUCAUGCMCCUUAUGACCUGGGCUACACACGUGCUACAAUGGACAGAACAAAGGGUAGCGAAACCGCGAGGUUAAGCCAAUCCCACAAAUCUGUUCUCAGUUCGGAUCGCAGUYUGCAACUCGACUGCGUGAAGCUGGAAUCGCUAGUAAUCGCGGAUCAGCAUGCCGCGGUGAAUACGUUCCCGGGCCUUGUACACACCGCCCGUCACACCACGAGAGUUUGUAACACCCGAAGUCGGUGAGGUAACCUUUUAGGAGCCAGCCGCCGAAGGUGGGACAGAUGAUUGGGGGAAGUC
rnacentral:rRNA from 1 species